UUAAGCGACUAAGCGUACACGGUGGAUGCCCUGGCAGUCAGAGGCGAUGAAGGACGUGCUAAUCUGCGAAAAGCGUCGGUAAGGUGAUAUGAACCGUUAUAGCCGGCGAUGUCCGAAUGGGGAAACCCAGUGCAAUUCGUUGCACUAUCGUUAACUGAAUACAUAGGUUAACGAGGCGAACCGGGGGAACUGAAACAUCUAAGUACCCCGAGGAAAAGAAAUCAACCGAGAUUCCCCCAGUAGCGGCGAGCGAACGGGGAGCAGCCCAGAGUCUGAAUCAGCUUGUGUGUUAGUGGAACGGUCUGGAAAGUCCGACGGUACAGGGUGAUAGUCCCGUACACCAAAAUGCACAGGCUGUGAACUCGAAGAGUAGGGCGGGACACGUGGUAUCCUGUCUGAAUAUGGGGGGACCAUCCUCCAAGGCUAAAUACUCCUGACUGACCGAUAGUGAACCAGUACCGUGAGGGAAAGGCGAAAAGAACCCCGGCGAGGGGAGUGAAAAAGAACCUGAAACCGUGUACGUACAAGCAGUGGGAGCACCUUCGGGUGUGACUGCGUACCUUUUGUAUAAUGGGUCAGCGACUUAUAUUCUGUAGCAAGGUUAACCGUAUAGGGGAGCCGCAGGGAAACCGAGUCUUAACUGGGCGUUAAGUUGCAGGGUAUAGACCCGAAACCCGGUGAUCUAGCCAUGGGCAGGUUGAAGGUUGGGUAACACUAACUGGAGGACCGAACCGACUAAUGUUGAAAAAUUAGCGGAUGACUUGUGGCUGGGGGUGAAAGGCCAAUCAAACCGGGAGAUAGCUGGUUCUCCCCGAAAGCUAUUUAGGUAGCGCCUCGUGAACUCAUCUUCGGGGGUAGAGCACUGUUUCGGCUAGGGGGUCAUCCCGACUUACCAACCCGAUGCAAACUACGAAUACCGAAGAAUGUUAUCACGGGAGACACACGGCGGGUGCUAACGUCCGUCGUGAAGAGGGAAACAACCCAGACCGCCAGCUAAGGUCCCAAAGUCAUGGUUAAGUGGGAAACGAUGUGGGAAGGCACAGACAGCCAGGAUGUUGGCUUAGAAGCAGCCAUCAUUUAAAGAAAGCGUAAUAGCUCACUGGUCGAGUCGGCCUGCGCGGAAGAUGUAACGGGGCUAAACCAUGCACCGAAGCUGCGGCAGCGACACUAUGUGUUGUUGGGUAGGGGAGCGUUCUGUAAGCCUGCGAAGGUGACCUGUGAGGCAUGCUGGAGGUAUCAGAAGUGCGAAUGCUGACAUAAGUAACGAUAAAGCGGGUGAAAAGCCCGCUCGCCGGAAGACCAAGGGUUCCUGUCCAACGUUAAUCGGGGCAGGGUGAGUCGACCCCUAAGGCGAGGCCGAAAGGCGUAGUCGAUGGGAAACAGGUUAAUAUUCCUGUACUUGGUGUUACUGCGAAGGGGGGACGGAGAAGGCUAUGUUAGCCGGGCGACGGUUGUCCCGGUUUAAGCAUGUAGGCUGAUUGUCCAGGCAAAUCCGGAUAAUCAAGGCUGAGGUGUGAUGACGAGGCACUACGGUGCUGAAGUAACAAAUGCCCUGCUUCCAGGAAAAGCCUCUAAGCAUCAGGUAACAUUAAAUCGUACCCCAAACCGACACAGGUGGUCAGGUAGAGAAUACCAAGGCGCUUGAGAGAACUCGGGUGAAGGAACUAGGCAAAAUGGUGCCGUAACUUCGGGAGAAGGCACGCUGGUGUGUAGGUGAAGCCCCUGCGGAUGGAGCUGAGACCAGUCGAAGAUACCAGCUGGCUGCAACUGUUUAUUAAAAACACAGCACUGUGCAAACACGAAAGUGGACGUAUACGGUGUGACGCCUGCCCGGUGCCGGAAGGUUAAUUGAUGGGGUUAUCCGUAAGGAGAAGCUCUUGAUCGAAGCCCCGGUAAACGGCGGCCGUAACUAUAACGGUCCUAAGGUAGCGAAAUUCCUUGUCGGGUAAGUUCCGACCUGCACGAAUGGCGUAAUGAUGGCCAGGCUGUCUCCACCCGAGACUCAGUGAAAUUGAACUCGCUGUGAAGAUGCAGUGUACCCGCGGCAAGACGGAAAGACCCCGUGAACCUUUACUAUAGCUUGACACUGAACAUUGAGCCUUGAUGUGUAGGAUAGGUGGGAGGCUUUGAAGCGUGGACGCCAGUCUGCGUGGAGCCAACCUUGAAAUACCACCCUUUAAUGUUUGAUGUUCUAACGUUGGCCCCUGACCGGGGUUGCGGACAGUGUCUGGUGGGUAGUUUGACUGGGGCGGUCUCCUCCCAAAGCGUAACGGAGGAGCACGAAGGUUAGCUAAUCCUGGUCGGACAUCAGGAGGUUAGUGCAAUGGCAUAAGCUAGCUUGACUGCGAGCGUGACGGCGCGAGCAGGUGCGAAAGCAGGUCAUAGUGAUCCGGUGGUUCUGAAUGGAAGGGCCAUCGCUCAACGGAUAAAAGGUACUCCGGGGAUAACAGGCUGAUACCGCCCAAGAGUUCAUAUCGACGGCGGUGUUUGGCACCUCGAUGUCGGCUCAUCACAUCCUGGGGCUGAAGUAGGUCCCAAGGGUAUGGCUGUUCGCCAUUUAAAGUGGUACGCGAGCUGGGUUUAGAACGUCGUGAGACAGUUCGGUCCCUAUCUGCCGUGGGCGCUGGAGAAUUGAGGGGGGCUGCUCCUAGUACGAGAGGACCGGAGUGGACGCAUCACUGGUGUUCGGGUUGUCAUGCCAAUGGCACUGCCCGGUAGCUAAAUGCGGAAGAGAUAAGUGCUGAAAGCAUCUAAGCACGAAACUUGCCCCGAGAUNAAAUCGUACCCCAAACCGACACAGGUGGUCAGGUAGAGAAUACCAAGGCGCUUGAGAGAACUCGGGUGAAGGAACUAGGCAAAAUGGUGCCGUAACUUCGGGAGAAGGCACGCUGGUGUGUAGGUGAAGUCCCUGCGGAUGGAGCUGAGACCAGUCGAAGAUACCAGCUGGCUGCAACUGUUUAUUAAAAACACAGCACUGUGCAAACACGAAAGUGGACGUAUACGGUGUGACGCCUGCCCGGUGCCGGAAGGUUAAUUGAUGGGGUUAUCCGUAAGGAGAAGCUCUUGAUCGAAGCCCCGGUAAACGGCGGCCGUAACUAUAACGGUCCUAAGGUAGCGAAAUUCCUUGUCGGGUAAGUUCCGACCUGCACGAAUGGCGUAAUGAUGGCCAGGCUGUCUCCACCCGAGACUCAGUGAAAUUGAACUCGCUGUGAAGAUGCAGUGUACCCGCGGCAAGACGGAAAGACCCCGUGAACCUUUACUAUAGCUUGACACUGAACAUUGAGCCUUGAUGUGUAGGAUAGGUGGGAGGCUUUGAAGCGUGGACGCCAGUCUGCGUGGAGCCAACCUUGAAAUACCACCCUUUAAUGUUUGAUGUUCUAACGUUGGCCCCUGACCGGGGUUGCGGACAGUGUCUGGUGGGUAGUUUGACUGGGGCGGUCUCCUCCCAAAGCGUAACGGAGGAGCACGAAGGUUAGCUAAUCCUGGUCGGACAUCAGGAGGUUAGUGCAAUGGCAUAAGCUAGCUUGACUGCGAGCGUGACGGCGCGAGCAGGUGCGAAAGCAGGUCAUAGUGAUCCGGUGGUUCUGAAUGGAAGGGCCAUCGCUCAACGGAUAAAAGGUACUCCGGGGAUAACAGGCUGAUACCGCCCAAGAGUUCAUAUCGACGGCGGUGUUUGGCACCUCGAUGUCGGCUCAUCACAUCCUGGGGCUGAAGUAGGUCCCAAGGGUAUGGCUGUUCGCCAUUUAAAGUGGUACGCGAGCUGGGUUUAGAACGUCGUGAGACAGUUCGGUCCCUAUCUGCCGUGGGCGCUGGAGAAUUGAGGGGGGCUGCUCCUAGUACGAGAGGACCGGAGUGGACGCAUCACUGGUGUUCGGGUUGUCAUGCCAAUGGCACUGCCCGGUAGCUAAAUGCGGAAGAGAUAAGUGCUGAAAGCAUCUAAGCACGAAACUUGCCCCGAGAUGAGUUCUCCCUGAGACUUUAAGUCUCCUGAAGGAACGUUAAAGACGAUGACGUUGAUAGGCCGGGUGUGUAAGCGCAGCGAUGCGUUGAGCUAACCGGUACUAAUGAACCGUGAGGCUUAACCUU
rnacentral:rRNA from 1 species